rnacentral:piRNA from 1 species
UGCCUUGCAGACUGGGUUAUUGUUUGUG